rnacentral:rRNA from 1 species
AUUGAACGCUGGCGGCAGGCCUAACACAUGCAAGUCGAACGGUAACAGGAAACAGCUUGCUGUUUCGCUGACGAGUGGCGGACGGGUGAGUAAUGUCUGGGAAACUGCCUGAUGGAGGGGGAUAACUACUGGAAACGGUAGCUAAUACCGCAUAACGUCGCAAGACCAAAGAGGGGGACCUUCGGGCCUCUUGCCAUCGGAUGUGCCCAGAUGGGAUUAGCUAGUAGGUGGGGUAACGGCUCACCUAGGCGACGAUCCCUAGCUGGUCUGAGAGGAUGACCAGCCACACUGGAACUGAGACACGGUCCAGACUCCUACGGGAGGCAGCAGUGGGGAAUAUUGCACAAUGGGCGCAAGCCUGAUGCAGCCAUGCCGCGUGUAUGAAGAAGGCCUUCGGGUUGUAAAGUACUUUCAGCGGGGAUGAAGGGAGUAAAGUUAAUACCUUGGCUCAUUGACGUUACCCGCAGAAGGAGCACCGGCUAACUCCGUG